UUCCUCUAUUCCCCCGUGCUGCCGUUCCUUCCUCCUCUAGAUGCGAUGGCGUUCCUCACUCCUCGAUGCGCCCGCGAUCCACCGUGGGCAUGUGUGACUGCCCCCGCGACGCGUUCGUCUACGGCGGCUGCGGCAUCCGCCCGCCCCGUCGGCUUCCACCGCUGGCUGUCGUCAUACUACAUCGUCCUCCAUGCCUUGCAGAUCUUCCUCACGCCCUUCCCCUCCCGUAACCGAAUCUGGAACUGAUGCCUUAAAGGUUUGCAGUGCUCAUUCGCUGGGAUUUCUGUGUUGGAAUUGCUCGUGCCUGUGUGGAUUACACCCAAUUGCAAGCAUCGCUUCUGGACAAGUUCCACAGCUGACUCAUUCUUACAUAUUGUUGCCUUAUCAUCAUCUACUAUCUUUUUCUUUGUUACUGUGAUUUUAGUUGUUAAUUCUAUGUGAUUUGUUUGAUUUUCAUUCCAACCAGCCACAUCCAUUUUGUCUCUUUACUUUCCUUCCGUUUGUUUCAGAUUUCAUAUAACUGUUUGUGACACAUGCUGAACCUAAGUAGAAUAAAAAUGCCUAAAUGUUCUCAAUUACAAGACCAUGGAAGCGAUGUGUGUUAGCCACAUUGCGGUAUAGGACCAAGUAGAGUCAUGCCCCAAUGUAUGCGGGCAAGGAUUAACGAACCACUUAAUAUGCACAAUUCAAUUGGACGGCCAAAAAGAAAGAGUAUGUUAAUUCACCUCCACUUGUGCUGCUUUACGACAUUUUCUUUACCUUGAUAUAAUCAUGUUCUAUACUGCUGUAAAAGAAUAUUUAGACUACAGGCAUUUGGUCCCUCAUGAUUCCUUGUGGCGCUUGUAUCAGUUUCCCCUACACUGUAAAAUACUGAAAGUUGAAAGAUUAGACAUCCAUUUACCUGACAUGAAUACUAUUACUUACAAAUCAAAAGAAAAUCUUGAAACUGUUGAAUCUAGUGCUGAAAAGUUGAAGACAAUUAUGCUUACUGAAUGGUUUGUUGCAAACCAAAAGUUUCCAGAAGCUCGACAAUUGACAUAUUGCAGUUUCCCAAGUGAAUGGAUAUGGGAAUGGACUGAGAAAUUGUUGAAAAAAAGGUGCGAAACUGGUGAAAAUAUAGGCCAUGUAUACUAUGUCUAUCCAUCUGCCGGUGAUGAUACAGAAUGGUACACUGCAUUUGAUGAGGCGUUAAUAUGGGCAACAUCGGCUCAGCUUAGGUCAACAGAAUGACAUCAGUCCACCAAAAAACAAAUGUCUUUGAGUUCACCCGUCUUCUGGUUCAAACAAAAGCAUACCGAACCAAGUAAGUACAUCUAGCCAACUAUCAAUACAAACCAAGGUAAAUAUUCCCUUGUACUGCAAGUAUUUAGAUUUUCAUAUAUAUCAUGUCACUAUCAUAAUUUCUUGAUCUAAUUAAACAUGAUAUUGCAGAAGAACAUUCUGCCUGAGUUGCUACUGAAAACAAAAAGCCGGCUCAGGUGGCGGAGCAGAACGGGGUGGAGAUGGUAGCUUCAACUUCUUGUGCCUCCGCAUGUAAGCCAAAUUUUUGGCAAGCUGAGCACCGCAUCUUUUAACAGAAGAUUCAGUGGCCAGAUCAAACUGCGUGUCUGUCAUAUCACGCUGGCUGAGCACGCCAUCCCCUGAGCUGCUUGACACCAUGUUAGAAGUACCAGUGAGCAUGAUCUGGGACUCAAUAACAGGUUCAUCACCCGCACGGUCAGAUAAGCCUUCAACAUUUCCUGCUACACUGUCACGCGCUUCAGCGUUUGCACCACUUGAUUGAGUUGGGUCCACAUUUACUGCUACACUAUCAGAUGCCACAUUCUCUGCCCCGCUGCGGGAAGAAGAACCAUGAUGGAAAACCGUAAAGCCAAUGUAAUCAUCAUCAGAUCCGUCCCCGUCGUUUUCAUCCGUAUCACGGUCUUCUCAAAAGCGCGGACAAGGAUGUGUUCCAAGUUGGAUUUAGGGUGUUGAUAAAGAAAUCUAUGAUGCUCACUUGGUAGAUGAAUCCACCAGUUGUUGUGUGGGCUUGGGACAUGCUUAUGGGGUGUGAUCGGCUGUUUGAAGGGCUCCUUUGUGGUUGCGUUUUGGUGGAAAUGUUUCCUCGGGGGUGAACUAUGUGUGCUUUGUUUUGUGGCGUAGCUGUGUAGGUUAGUGUUGGUUUUAGUUGUUUGGUUACAAAACUAGAUGUGUUGUCAGGUUUUUGCCCAGUAAGGGGUGUUUGGAGGUCGAGCACUCAUAGCGGGUUUUGUGGCAAUGCACUAACUCACCUCCC